UGCUUAACACAUGCAAGUCGAGCGAUGAAGCACCUUCGGGUGUGAAUUAGCGGCGAACGGGUGAGGAACACGUGAGAAAUCUGCCUUCAACACUGGGAUAACUCCGGGAAACCGGGGCUAAUACCGGAUAUGAAAUCUGCGGGCAUCCGCGGAUUUGGAAAGUUUUUCGGUUGAAGAUGAUCUCGCGGCCUAUCAGCUUGUUGGUGAGGUAAUGGCUCACCAAGGCGACGACGGGUAGCCGGCCUGAGAGGGCGACCGGCCACACUGGGACUGGGACACGGCCCAGACUCCUACGGGAGGCAGCAGUGGGGAAUAUUGGGCAAUGGAGGAAACUCUGACCCAGCGACGCCGCGUGCGGGAUGAAGGCCUUCGGGUUGUAAACCGCUUUCAGCAGGGAAGAAGCGAAAGUGACGGUACCUGCAGAAGAAGCACCGGCUAACUAUGUGCCAGCAGCCGCGGUAAUACAUAGGGUGCAAGCGUUGUCCGGAAUUAUUGGGCGUAAAGAGCUCGUAGGUGGUUCGUCACGUCGGAUGUGAAACUCUGGGGCUUANCCCAGACCUGCAUUCGAUACGGGCGAGCUUGAGUAUGGUAGGGGAGUCUGGAAUUCCUGGUGUAGCGGUGGAAUGCGCAGAUAUCAGGAGGAACACCAAUGGCGAAGGCAGGACUCUGGGCCUUACUGACACUGAGGAGCGAAGCGUGGGGAGCGAACAGGAUUAGAUACCCUGGUAGUCCAACGCCGUAACGGUGGGC
rnacentral:rRNA from 1 species